rnacentral:lncRNA from 1 species
UUCUUCCUCCUCCUUUUUUCUUCUUCAUUUUUGAGACAGGGUUUCUCUGUGUAGCCCUGGCUGUCCUGGAACUCACUCUGUAGACCAGGCUGGCCUCGAACUCAUAGAGAUCCUCCUGCCUCUGCGUCCUGAGUGCUAGGAUUAAAGGCGUGCGCCACCACUGCCCAACGCCUUUUUUUUUUCUUUUUUAUUUAAAGAAAGAAUAUAAAGUUGUGUCAGCUGUGGGGAAAGGUUUUGUUUUAUGUGUGUGUGUGUAUGUGUUCUGCUUUGAUUUUGUUUUUUAUUUCUCAGAGAGAGAAGAACAUGAAGUUGGGUCUCUGUUGGGUGGGGGUCUCUGUACUGGCUGGUUUUGUGUGUCAACUUGACAUAAGCUGGAGUUAUCACAGAGAAAGGAGCCUCCCUUGAGGAAAUGCCUCCAUGAGAUCCAGCUGUAAGGCAUUCUUUUAAUUAGUGACCAAGUGGGGAAAGGCCCCUUGUGGGUGGUACCAUCCCUGGGCUGCUAGUCUUGGGUUCUAUAAGAAAGCAGGCUGAACAAAGCAGGGGAAGCAAGCCAGUAACUAACAUCCCUCCAUGGCCUCUGCAUCAGCUCCUGCUUCCUGACCUGCUUGAGUUCCAAUCCUGACUUCCUUUGGUGAUGAACAACAAUGUGGAAAUGUAAGCUGAAUAAACCCUUUCCUCCCCAACUUGCUUCUUGGUUAUGAUGUUUGUGCAGGAAUAGAAACCCUAACUAAGACAGAAUGGAUCUGGGAGGAAUUGGGGGAAAGAACAGAGUCUAACUGAGAUACACUGUAUGAAAACAUAAAGUAAAAUAGCACAAGUGUAGUGCUGCAAGUGCUGUGGAGGCAGAGGCCGUCCAAGAAUUCAAGUUCCCGCCAGCCAGAGCUACACAGUGACACCCCAUCUCAAAAAAUAAGAUUAUCCACCUUAAAAAAAUAUGGGCCAGGUGGUAGUGGUACACACUGUUAAUCCAAGCAGUCGGGAAAGGUGGGUGAAUCUCUGUGAGUUUGAGGCCAGCCUGGUCUACAGAACAAGUUUUGGGUCAGCCAGGGCUACACAAAUAAACCAAAACAUAUAUAUAUAUAUAUAUACUCUAGAGAGAUGGCUCAGAGGUUCAGAAGUCCUGAAUUCAAUUCCUAGCAACCACAUGUCAACUAACAACUGUCUGAAAUAGGAUCUGAUGCCCUCUUCUGGUGUGCAAACAUCAAUGCAGACAAAAUACCUAUAUACAUAAAUAAAUAAGUUGU